rnacentral:lncRNA from 1 species
GUGGUUUUAUUCAUCUCAUUCUACUUUUCUCGAGGGCUGACGUGUGCAUAAAAGGAGAACGUGAUCCCUUGCACAUGUUCUACAUGAGGGCUGUGUGUAGCACCAUCAGUAACUUAAAACAAGCUCUGCUGACUCUCACUCAAAGGGAUUGCUGAAUCCAAGCCAAUGCAAUUCAGACUGGCAUUUCUCCACCUCCUCUGGCCAGGGAAUGGUGUGAAAGGACAAUCCUGUUUCUCUACACCAGUGGUCAGUAGAAGAGGUAAAACAAUACAAGAAAAUGAGGAAUUAAUUGCCUCUUGUGACGUGUUGUCCCAGUUCCCCAAAAUGCGCCAUUUCUAGGACUUCCUGAGCUACACUUUGCAUCUAAGAUGAGCUUCAGACACUGGUCCUAAAGGAUGAAAUCCCAUUCUGCAAAAUGGUGGCAGAAGGUCUUGCAGUGUUUGGUUCAUCACCUAUUGUUUGGAUAAACUGGGCUGUAGAAAGGUGUGGAAAUGGCUUGAAAAUCUGCAGAAGGUUUGCUCUUGGGUCUCAUAACAGUCCCACAUGUGACAUUUGUACAUGCUCAAAAGGCAUCAACUGAGAGCAAGAGAAAACGUUCAGAAAUUUAUUUAGAUCUUUGACUAAACAGAACUUUAUCACACUUAGCAUUCCCUUUUUCUUUAGCCCAUCAAGGCCUUUCUUAAUAAACAACCCUGUC